GGUAAAAUGGCUGAAUGGUAGGCGAUAGAUUGUAAAUCUAUUAAUGAAAUCUUUUCUUUUAUCA
rnacentral:tRNA from 1 species